rnacentral:rRNA from 1 species
GCCACGCCGCGUGAGGGACGAAUGUCUUCGGAUUGUAAACCUCUUUCAGUCGUGAAGAAGCGCAAGUGACGGUAGCGACAGAAGAAGCCCCGGCUAACUACGUGCCAGCAGCCGCGGUAAUACGUAGGGGGCAAGCGUUGUCCGGAAUUAUUGGGCGUAAAGGGCGCGUAGGCGGUCCACUAAGUCGGAUGUGAAAUCCAGGGGCUCAACCCCUGAACUGCACCCGAUACUGGUGGACUUGAGGUAGGUAGAGGAGAGUGGAAUUUCUGGUGUAGCGGUGGAAUGCGCAGAUAUCAGAAGGAACACCGAUGGCGAAGGCAGCUCUCUGGGCCUUACCUGACGCUGAGGCGCGAAAGCAUGGGUAGCAAACAGGAUUAGAUACCCUGGUAGUCCAUGCCGUAAACGAUGGGUGCUAGGUGUGGGGAUCAGUUCACGAUCUCCGCGUCGAAGCUAACGCGUUAAGCACCCCGCCUGGGGACUACGGCCGCAAGGCUAAAACUCAAAGGAAUUGACGGGGGCCCGCACAAGCGGCGGA